rnacentral:rRNA from 1 species
UACAGAGGGUGCAAGCGUUGUUCGGAAUUAUUGGGCGUAAAGGGUGCGUAGGCGGUUUUGUAAGUCUUGUGUGAAAUCUUCAGGCUCAACUUGAAGACUGCACGAGAAACUGCAGGGCUUGAGUGUGGGAGAGGUGAGUGGAAUUCCUGGUGUAGCGGUGAAAUGCGUAGAUAUCUGGAGGAACACCGGUGGCGAAGGCGGCAUCCUGGACCAAUUCUGACGCUGAGUGAGCGAAAGCCAGGGGAGCAAACGGGG